CACCUUAACAUUCAUCUGUAAGGCAAUAAGCACUCACGAAAUGCUAACAAAAAGACCACUCUGGUCAACCUAAUAUAUCCAUCAGUAGAAUGCCUCUUUUUAGAGGACUUACAUAAAGGGGUUAUAUAAACCUUACAAAAACCAUAGUAUCUAUCGUAAUGUCCCUUCUAAACCGACACCAUUAAUAGUACUAUGUCUCGGUCUGGACCUCCUACGGUAAUUGCUACCAGUUAACUCAUCUAGUUGCUACUUUAGCACUUAGUUGCUACUUUAGCACACUAGGAACAUCCAUCUAUUUAACAUCAGUAGGGUACUAUAUUCGCAUGCUUAUCUAUCAGCAUGUCAAAAGCUCAAGUACCAGUAUCUCCUAAGUAAGUUAUAUACAUCGCAAUGUAAUUGAAACUAAUCAAAAACGAGGGUGUACCGCUCAUACUCUCAAGAUCAUCCUUAGCUCUAGUCUACAUCGACUUCUCUUCUCAUCCUCAUCAACUCUAGCCCUCCUCGGCUACUUCUCAUCCUCAUUAUCGUUUAUCAUUUAUCAUCUUUGGUAACUGAUACUCAAGGAUCGACUCGAUAUCUACUACACUCUUCUAGAGUCCCUGGUAGAAAACAGGCAUCCGGUCAGUAGAUCCGCAUAGAAAAUCUGGGCAUCUGUAAUAAAUCCCAUCUCCUGUGGGUCCAGCACUCAAGACGACACGUCCCAUCAUAUUGAGAGGCUUUCUUCCUUGCUCAAUCCUACCACUCGAUUGGUAGCACGGGGACUAGGUGCACGAUGCCAUCCAGUCUAGUAACAACCAUAAGGCUUUCAUCCUUUCAUAGUCUAUGAACAUGUGUUUGAA
rnacentral:lncRNA from 1 species